rnacentral:rRNA from 1 species
AUUGAACGCUGGCGGCAGGCCUAACACAUGCAAGUCGAACGAGUGGCGGACGGGUGAGUAAUGUCUGGGAAACUGCCUGAUGGAGGGGGAUAACUACUGGAAACGGUAGCUAAUACCGCAUACCCUCGGAUGUGCCCAGAUGGGAUUAGCUAGUAGGUGGGGUAAAGGCUCACCUAGGGGACGAUCCCUAGCUGGUCGAAGAGGAUGACCAGCACCACUGGAACUGGGACACGGUCCAGCUUCCUCCGGAGGGACGCGUGGGGGAAUAUUGCACAAGGGGCGCAAGCCUGAUGCAGCCAUGCCGCGUGGAGGAAAAAGGCCUUCGGGUUGUAAAGUACUUUCAGCGGGGAGGCGUUACCCGAAGAAGAAGCACCGGCUAACUCCGUGCCAGCAGCCGCGGUAAUAC